UAUAUGAUAAAUAAAUUAAUGAAAUAAAAUAAAUAGAUGAGGUUGAAAUGUAACUACAAUUGGACCAAACCCAAUUUAAAAUUUAAAACAAGACCAUUAGGCUAACUGGGCUACAGUUAGAUGGGUCUAAAGCAUGGAUCAGAGGUGGGCCAAUUCAAAAGGCUACGCGUCGAGUCAGAUACCUUUUUUAUUUUUUGAAAGUUUAUAAAACCAAAGCUUUCUUGUUUGUUUUAAACCUUGUUUCAAUCCUUUUUCUUAAAAAAAAAAAAAAACAAAUCUCUCCUUGAUACAAAAACAAAACAGUAACCCCUCUACCCAGUUUUCGACGCCGGUGCGAUUAUGCCGAUUGCCACCCACUGUUGUUAACUUGUGUUAAAAAUCUUCCAAAAUUCAUCCCUAGCUCCUCUUGUCAUCCUCUCUCCAAUUGUCCUACUAGAUUUUUCAAGAAACGUGCCAAAAAUCCUAGAUCUAGGUUUGAAACUGAAACUUUGAACCUAAAAAAAAAACUCUUGCAACCGUCCCACUCUUUGCACUCUUAAUAUAUUGCUCCCCUCCCUAUUACUCUUUAUCACCACCAUUCAGAUCUCCAAAAAAAUCCCUCGCCGUCGUUAACUGCCAUCCUCGUUGUCACUGAUGAUGCCGUUUUUGCCACCAUGGCUUACCUUGCUUCCUUCCUUUCCCUUCCUUACUUGAGAUUCAAAAAAGAUCUCCCAAAAAUAACCCCUUUAGACCCAAAACUAAACCCCAACAAAGAUACCUAUUCCUACUUUUGGAAUUUUUUUUUUGUUUUUGGUUUUUUUUUAACUGUUGUGGUCCCUUUUAUGGAUGCGAAAUUUUGUAGUUUUUUUCUUUCGUUGCUUGACAGAUCUUUAGAAAGGGAGUUUGGGUUCACUUUUUUAGUUGGGGUAGUCAACAUUUAUGUUUAUAGUGGUUGUAAGUGGUGGAAAAGGUCUCAAU
rnacentral:lncRNA from 1 species